AAAAAAAAAACACUUUUAAGUAUUUCACACGUUGCAAAAACAGAAUAAGGCACAGUUACCUCGAUAUUAUAUCGCCUGUUCGGAAUGUAGCACUUAUGUGGUGGCAUGCCUUCAGGUUUUAGAGGACAGUGGUCGGUUUUUACAGAUAUUACACGUGAAUGAAAUCGUAAAAAAACAAGUAUGUAAGUAGCUACGAGUAUGUUAUCGUUUGUAUGGUAUCAAUAUAAUUAUGAUAUAAAAUUAAAAACAUUUUUACCCUGCCUGCUUUUGAAGGAGCAUAUGUGUGAAAUUUUCAUAUUACGAUUGUUAGAUUUUUAAUUAUUUCAAUAAUUAUAAAUACAUAAGACAACAUAUAAAAACUCCUUCUUCCAGAUAAAUGUUUUAAUCUGUACUGUUUAUUAAUGAUAAUGGUUUUAUUCUGAGGUUGGUAAGGUAUUGUGAUAUAUACUCUAUGUAAAAGAGGCGAACAUGCGAUUAUGUGGCGUGAAGUUUAUUUAAUUAAUGUAUUAUCCAUCUACCAAAAAGUGAGAGUACCUACGAACACGAUGUCAUUACCUACAUUAAAGUCGAUCUACAGAAAGAAAAUGUAACGGCAUUUAAAUGAAGUGUGAAUUUGGGAAACAGUGGUUUACAUUACGAGAAAUGCGAUAAAAAUCAUACGUGUGUACAACCAUUAAGUAUGUAUACCACUGACGGCUAUGGGACGCACGCCGCACUGGUCCCGGUAAAAGUAUUUAUGCGAUGUCGGUUGUCGAUGCUUACAAUAUCUAACAAGAAUGAAGAAACGUAAACGUAACACACUUAUACCAUGUUGACGAUAUUUAUGAGCAAAACAGUCAAACAGUCCAACAGCACUCAUAAGAGGAUAUUAUUUGAAAAACUGCGAGAGAACAGAGAAGAACGUGUAAAUUAAUAACAAAAUACAAAGAUGCAUGUGUGGUGUUAGCUGCAGAGUUAUAUGAGAUGGAAUCCUGUUGGUUUGACGGAUGAGAAAUACCAAUGAUGUCUAAAUAUAUUAAACUAGGUGUCUGGUGAGUUUUAUUAGUUUGAUUAAACAGCCUCAUAAAUUAUUCAGUUGUGACUAAUAUGAAAUAAAAUUACAAAGAAUAAAUAAUCACUAGGUGAAACUAAGUAUGGUUGAUAGGUUGUCAGUUUGUCUGGCUUAUUGUCAAAACAUUUUUGUUAGAUGACUAUAUCUAGGAAACCAAAAUCAUUUAAGUGAAAAGUACACACACACACACACACAUACACACUGCUCAAGAAAUUAACGUAUGAAGACAGACCACUCUAGGGUUGUUAGGAUGUAGGACACUGGCAUAAUGUAAUAUUGAGAAAUCUUAAUUAUAGAACUACAUUACAUCCGUUGCUGACAUGGGACUAAAAUGAAUUAACUAAAAUAUUGUUUUUUUUUGUGCCUGUAACUUCAAACUAUACAUUUGUUAUAUGUGAGUUUUUAUGACUGAAUAACAUAAAAAUUAAAAAUAUAUGAAGUUUUAUGUAAUGGUUCAAGUAUUAUUUUAGGCCUUGAUGUAGGUACCUGAUAACAAGUUUUGAGACAGCUAUUACAAUAUUUUCAGAUAGGAUUUGCUUAGAUAUAUCAUUAUGUAGAUUACUGUAUGUACUUAAUAUAAAUUUUUUUAAAUCUUUUAAGAAAUUGGAUUGAUAGAUUUCUUGAAAAAUAAAUUUGUAGUUAUGUUUGAAAACCUAUUUAACUAUUCAAGCGUUGACAACAUGCCUUCAGCCUAUUUAGUAUAGAACAGUUAUUAACAAUCUGCAGCAACACAGUAAAUGAUUCUUAUCCAUGAAUAUUAUUAUAUUCGGCUUAUCUACAAGAGUACUAAGAGAUAUUAUGAUAUUCAUCUUAAUGAAAUCUUAUAAUUAAUUAAAUUGGAGAUUUUUUUUUAGGGUGAUAUUAAAAAGUUACUUGUGUGACAAUUGAGUAAUAAAUAAUUAAUUAUAAUAAUAUCAUUGAUCACAAAUUGUCUUAGAGCCCAGUCUGUAUGGACUUCAAGUAAAGAGACACAGAUUGCCAUAAAUAGGUUGUAAAAUAUUUGUCUAAGACAUAUUUUGACAGUUUUGUGGGUGGGUGACGUUGGGCUCUCUUUUCAUUAAUGGUCAUGUGCAGAUGUAUAGAUUCUACAUACAAGUAAAUUAACCAUACUAUUGCUGUUGUUUUAGAUUCAAUCAAUCAGUUUAUUAUUUGCAGAUACACUAGUGUAUUUAAUCCAUGUCUCAUUUGUUUAUUUCUAGCAUUUUAUUAGAUUGCAACAUUUUGUAUAAUUAUGAAAAUUAGUAAUUAUUAUGGGGUUGUGGUUAGAAUUAUAUAUUCGGAUGGUUACAAUGAUAUGUGCAUAAGGUUUUAACUAGGGUAUACUAGUACACUAAAGGUAAAAAAAAAAAAAUUAGAAAAUUCCUUGGCCAACAUAUUAAGUGGUAUAGGUUUUGAAUAUAGAUUUGUAUUGGGUCCUUAGGUAGUCAGUACAUUUGUGCAUCUACAAAGUGCACGCCACCGAGUUGUUGGUACCUGCAUGCAACUGAUGGGUGGUCUGCAUCAAGUAUGAAUCAAUAUAGAGACUUAAAUCAUUACAUCAGUAAAAUAAUUAAUGGAUAUAACCAAAAAAAAAAAAAAAAAAAGAAAUUUAACAGAAUUAAAAAAAAAAAGAAUAUACUAAAAUUAAUGAAUAGGUAAAACCUCUGAUAGCAAACUAGAGGUAUAUAACAAAGGGGGUGGUCUGGUCUAAGACAGGUUUAUGCUACUAUUAUUACAAAAAAGGGGGUAGUCUGAAGAUAAUUAUACAAUACAUAGUCAAAUAUCAUCUUUUCUUAUCUAGUGAUAACUACUAGGAUUGGAUUACAUACUAAAAUUAUUACAAUCAUAAAUCGCAAUAUUUUCAAGAAGUCUUUAUUAUCAUUAAAAAAAAAAAAAAGCAUUUCUUUAAGAGAAAGAGUCUUUUGUCUGAAUUAAAGUAAAUUGAUAGAUUAACACAUGUUUAACAUUUUAUUUCAUUUUAUGUACCGGGUCUAAGGUUCAUUCAAUUAUAGACUGAUUUUCUCUUGGAUGCUAGGUAUGCUAGUUAUGUUAAAUUAAAUUAUUUGUCAAACAAGUAUGAUAUUUAUCUGAACGAUUAAGUGACUGAGCUAUGUGAUACUGUGUGAAAAUAUUUGAUUACAGAUCCGAGAUGCAUGGAUAUUGAUUGAUGAAUAUGGGAUAUAUGAGAUUCUCAUGAUAAUCAUUGGGUUGAACACAGCCCUAUUCGACAGUUGACCCAAAUCACAAAGAUGAGAGAAGUUACACUAUGUAUUGAUAACACACGAUUUAAAUUUAGUAUUUUUAUUUAUGAUAUGAUGAUAUUAUAAUUAUGUAUUAUAUUGAGAGUUAUUAGUUUUGAUAUCAUAUAUACAAAUAUUUUAAAUAUUUGCUCACAUCCAUGAUGUUAUUCAUUAAUUAUGACUUACUGAUGACGAUUUGUGUUUUGGUAAAAUUUUAAUAUAAGGAUAGAUGUAUUACACAGGCCGACACGAUUUUCGUUGUCCAAGAUAUAAUUAUUUUUUUUCUACUGAUUUUGUAGUGCUGAUUACGAAAUCAGACCUAAUUUUAUCAUAUCACAUCAGAUUUUUAGUAAAAUUAAUAUAUUCGCUAGUUUUGAUUUUUCAGUGAAAUUUUCGAGUUUUGGCACUCUUUCUUUGAAUUAAGCGACCUCUCAUGAGAAAUUACUUCAGUUAUAACAACGACACACCUAUUUGUAACGCGUUUCGUGGAAAUAAGCUGUUAUAGUGCCUUUGUUAAAAAAAAAAUAUAUAUAUAUAUUUUAGUUAAUGGUUUUUUUUGUUGUUGGAAAACGUCUGAUAAACAUAACGUCUUCUAUAAAGUGUCACAAUAGUCCAGAUAUAUUUUGUUACAUUUGUUGAAACUUUAUGAUUCUAAGCAAAAACUGAAAAAUUUGUGGAAAAUAUGUAUAAUAAAUAUGUAGCUUAUUUUGACUUCAAAAUACAAAUAAAAUCGUGGACUCUGCAGUUUGUACUAAUCGUGUUGAACAAUUAAGGCAGUGGACACUGGACAUACAGCAAAAGACAAUCUCUACCUUUUGGUACUACCUAUGAUAUAGUGAAAGCAAGACAAUCAUACAGAUAUUGUUAUUUUUGCUGUAUGUUAGAAGCUUUUAAAGUAAAAUUUGUUUUCCUUUUUGUAAAAAAAAUUGAUGUGAUAGAUUAAUUGUGCAGGUAUUUUUGUGUUCAAAAUACUAUAAAUUACUGAUAAUUUUUACUGAAAUCAAAACAACGUUCAAAAAGUAUUCAUUUGUCGGCCGGUGUUAUCGAUAAUAUUUUAGAUAGUAUUAUAGUAUAGUAGUGUUAUGACGACUAAUAUACCGUUAUUUGUUUUGUGAAUGAUUAUGGAUAUAUUUGUUGUAUAAUAAUUUCUCUAUUGAUUAUUACACAGCAAAAUAAAAUAAAUCAAUAAAUAUAAAAAGAUUCCAACGAAUUGAUAAACUCCUUUUUUUUGAAGUCGUUUAAAAAUGUAUGUAUAUGUAUUUAUAUCUGAUUUUAUAUUUUGAUUAUCUUCUAUCACAUGUCAUCUGGAAGUCUAACACGAUCAUGAAGUCCUGUAACUAUAUUAGUUCUGAACUUGAUGGUGAGGGGUUCGGUGCAGAUGCCAUUAAUCGAUGAUGACGAAUUUGACAAAUAUAAAUAAUGUUUUGAAAUGAUGAAAAUAGAUAAGUUGAUUGACAAAAGCUUCACAUGAACAUUAUGUUUAUUUAUAAUAUGUAUCACUCUUAUUCUUAUUUAACAUUUUUAUGAUAAAAGUAUAUAGAAGAAAUCAAGAAUUUCAUUAUAGUUUCAUUGGAUUCUUUUAAAUAACUUAUGGGAUGCUGUGUGAUAAUUAAUUAUAAAAUUUUAUUGUUAACAUUGUUCUAUUUAUAGUUGAUAUUAUAGUAAUGUCAUAAUUUCAUGAUAUUCUUGUGUUGUUUGGGGACAAACUUUUAGUAAGGAUGGCCGAAUAUUAGAAGAUAAAGACAUUACAUUUGUAAAUAUUACAUAUCGUCUAUGUACUUAAUGCUUUAAAUUAAUCUACUACUCUGUCUAAGUUAAUUACAAUAUUUAAUAAGUCUCUGUCUAGAGUAAAGCUCCCUCUUGUCAUCUGGAAGCUCAGACAAAUAUUAGAAGAUAAAGACAUUACAUUUGUAAAUAUUACAUAUCGUCUAUGUACUUAAUGCUUUAAAUUAAUCUACUACUCUGUCUAAGUUAAUUACAAUAUUUAAUAAGUCUCUGUCUAGAGUAAAGCUCCCUCUUGUCAUCUGGAAGCUCAGACAAAUAUUAGAAGAUAAAGACAUUACAUUUGUAAAUAUUACAUAUCGUCUAUGUACUUAAUGCUUUAAAUUAAUCUACUACUCUGUCUAAGUUAAUUACAAUAUUUAAUAAGUCUCUGUCUAGAGUAAAGCUCCCUCUUGUCAUCUGGAAGCUCAGACAUACAUAAGACCUACCUCGCUAGAUGUUGUUUUUCGUCAAAGUACAUGAUUUACUUGUAUGAUCUAAUGCGAUUAUAAGAACUGUCUCAGUAGAAUCGAGGUUUCAUAGUUAUAACUUUAUAUUAACAUAACUUUUAGUUUAGUUUAGGAAUGACAAAAUGACAGACAAUUUUGUCAUGAAUUUGGGUAAUUGGACUGAAUCUGGAAGUGAUUAAAGAUUGAAUUUAUUUCAAAUUUGUAAAAACAAGAAUUAACAUACCAGUUUAACUGAAUUUAAGUGUUUGGAUUUUUAUCAAUAGAAUCACUAUCAAAAUCUGUAUAGGUCUGUAUUCACAAUUUGUAAAUAUUGAAUGAGAAAUCUGUUAAACUAUAAUUAUAUAAUUCUUAAAGAAUAAUUAAAUGUAUUGUAGGGUGUUUCAACAUAUUGUUAAAUCAAGGUUUAAAAUUAGAAAAUAUCUGUAAUGACAAAAUUGAAUUUUACUACUUGUAAAUCAGUGAAUUUAGCAAGUAGUAAUAAUAAUAGAUUAAUUGGGACUCACUUUUGUUAUAAUUAGAAAUUAUUGGAGAAUUAAUGAGUUGUGGUAAUAAACAUAAAUUAAAAUUUUAAAUACUAUGAGACAUAGUUCAGUGAAUCUUUAUAAUAAUGUAAUGUUAGAAUUUAUUUGUGUUUACAAAGUUUGAGGACAAACUUGUAGUCAGUAUGGCCGAAUGUUAGAUUUUUAAUUAUUUCAAUAAUUAUAAAUACAUAAGACAACAUAUAAAAACUCCUUCUUCCAGAUAAAUGUUUUAAUCUGUACUGUUUAUUAAUGAUAAUGGUUUUAUUCUGAGGUUGGUAAGGUAUUGUGAUAUAUACUCUAUGUAAAAGAGGCGAACAUGCGAUUAUGUGGCGUGAAGUUUAUUUAAUUAAUGUAUUAUCCAUCUACCAAAGUAACGAUUUGUUUAAGAAUGAGUAAUAAGUUAUUUGAAAUACAGUUUAUACAUUCCA